rnacentral:rRNA from 1 species
CCUACGGGCGGCUGCAGUGGGGGAUAUUGGGCAAUGGAGGAAACUCUGACGCAGCGACGCCGCGUGAAUGAUGAAGGUCUUCGGAUUGUAAAGUUCUUUUCUAAGGGAAGAAGAAAGUGACGGUACCUUAGGAAUAAGCCGCUGCUAACUACGUGCCAGCAGCCGCGGUAAUACGUAGGAGGCGAGCGUUAUCCGGAAUGACUGGGCGUAAGGGGUGCGAAGGUGGUUUGGCAAGUUAGUAGCGUAACCCCAAGGCUCAACCUCGGAACUACUACUAAAACUGCUGGGCUGGAGUGCAGGAGGGGCAGGCGGAAUUCCUAGUGUAGCGGUGGAAUGCGUAGAUAUUAGGAGGAACACCAGUGGCGAAGGCGGGCUGCUAGACUGCAACUGACACUGAGGCCCGAAAGCGUGGGGAGCAAACAGGAUUAGAUACCCCGGUAGUC